rnacentral:rRNA from 1 species
AUUGAACGCUGGCGGCAUGCUUUACACAUGCAAGUCGGACGAGUGGCGAACGGGUGAGUAACGCAUCGGAACGUCCCGAGUAAAGGGGGAUAACUGCCCGAAAGGACAGCUAAUACCGCAUACUAUUCGCUCUGCCCCUGUCUGAUUAGCUUGUUGGCGGGGUAAAGGCCCACCAAGGCGACGAUCCGUAGCGGGUCUGCGAGGAUGACCCGCCACACUGGGACUGAGACACGGCCCAGACGCCUACGGGAGGCAGCAGGGGGGAAUUUUGGACAAUGGGCGCAAGCCUGAUCCAGCCAUGCCGCGUGUCUGAAGAAGGCCUUCGGGUUGUAAAGGACUUUUGGCAGGGAAGCGGUACCUGAAGAAGAAGCACCGGCUAACUACGUGCCAGCAGCCGCGGUAAUAC